rnacentral:rRNA from 1 species
UAAGGAAUAUUGGUCAAUGGGGGCAACCCUGAACCAGCCAUGCCGCGUGCAGGAAGACGGCCCUACGGGUUGUAAACUGCUUUUAUACGGGAAUAAACCUCUUUACGUGUAAAGAGUUGAAUGUACUGUAAGAAUAAGGAUCGGCUAACUCCGUGCCAGCAGCCGCGGUAAUACGGAGGAUCCAAGCGUUAUCCGGAUUUAUUGGGUUUAAAGGGUGCGUAGGCGGCCUAUUAAGUCAGGGGUGAAAGACGGUGGCUCAACCAUCGCAGUGCCCUUGAUACUGAUAGGCUUGAUUACACUUGAGGUAGGCGGAAUGUGACAAGUAGCGGUGAAAUGCAUAGAUAUGUCACAGAACACCAAUUGCGAAGGCAGCUUACUAAGGUGUCAAUGACGCUGAGGCACGAAAGCGUGGGGAUCAAACA